rnacentral:lncRNA from 1 species
UUUACAUGAAAAAUAAAGGAGGUAAGAGUUUACACCUAAAAAUUUGAAGUAUUGCAGGCCAGAUGCAGAUGAUAUUUAGCCUUUGAGCUACCAAAAGGUUUUGAUACGUUUAAACUUCCAUGAACUACUCCAAUAGGCUCGUGAUCUAAUGGGAUCGUUCUCCUUGUGGAAGGGACUUGGGAUCCCGGUUUCUAGCAUAGGGGUUUGAAGGGGUGGUUAUGUUAUUUUUAUUGAUUAGUAAUCGGUAUUCAUCUCCUUCCUCGAAUCAAAGAAACCUGAAGAAAAGUUCAUUCAGGAUUCAAUUUCAAUCCCUCCGCUUUCUUUUCUUUAAAACCUGCGCUUUUUUGCCAUGUAGGAGAGAGAGAAAGGGAUGUAGAUGACAUGGCAGGUGGUCAUUAUUCAUUUGAAAUUGAUUCUUCUUCGUAUCUUAUGUUGGAGAUUUUUGUAACCUGGUCAGGAAAUAUUUAAGAAUGUAACAUAGUUUCACUUGUUACAGUUGUUAUUUACAACUAGCGUCUUGCAAUCUCUUUUCACAAUUAUCAACAUCUCCUUGUCAAUGACAUUUGAGUGGGUCUGACGACGACAACGCAAAACAAGUGGAUUUUGAUAUAUGCCUGGCUUUUUUAAUUUUGAGAUCUUCCAUGUGAUAUCCUCCAUGCAAAUACUAUCUGCAUCUUAUUUCCUGAAUGUUUUAAAGUAAACAUAAAUUUUAGUUGAAUUAUGAAACUUAUAUUGCGAUAAAUUCUUGAUGUAUCAACAUUUAAUCAUAGUAAUAUAUUAAAACUUGUUUUUGAAUUUUUAUCCAACCUCCAAUUCAUCAACUGAUAAACUUAAAUCACUACGACUAUUAAUCCAGUUAUUGCAUCGGUCAUGCCCACUCAUAAUGUCAAAUUCAGGAGCAGGAGGUGUUGUAUAUUAAUUUAUAAGCUCAACUAACUCAACAUUCUCAUCUUCCCUGUAUUACCCAUUUUCCUCCUCUUUCUUAACUCUAUCAAUGUGACAAUCAUCUUCUUCAUCAUUUGAUUCAGAUUCUUCAUGGCAAUAUGAAACAGAUGUCAUACCUAAUUGAAGUUUCAUAUUAAUAAUUUUUUAUAUUGAUGUUUGUCUGUUUUCAUUACCACCUAACCUAGAUGAAUCAACUAUUUGUGAUGUCUAUGUGGUCCUCCAAAUAUUAUUUGGAACUCGGGUCAACUCCACACUAAAAAAGUUUUUUUUAUCUAAGUCUAUUAUUGAAGUAGAACUCUAGUAUAUUAAUCUUAUUAAUGCACACAAACCCAAGCAUUAAAUUCACAAUUUUGUUAUUACAAGUGGAUACACCGACAUAACGAGCUUACUAACUCUAGUUUGCAACAUUCUUAAAGUAAUUUCAACUUCUAUUUAAAGCAUAUUUCAGCUAAGUCGAUCACAUAAAAUCCUAGAUAGCUCGUUAAGAGACAUCUAAUAUCGCAUUUGGGAACUCAUUACUUUUUCUAUUAUAAAUGAUAUCAUUAUCAUUAUUGAUAAUGAUACCACCACAUAAGCAUAGCAUUUCAAUAUUGCUAGAUAUUGUGUCAAACAACACAACAAAACACAAGUCUAAUUUAUCAAUAUCAUGAGUUAAUCAAGGUACAUAGUUUAUCAACAAAACUAUAACGGUAACAUAAUUGAUGAAAAUCAAAAUUCAUAAAUUUUCAACCAGAUUCAUUAUUUCAUAGCUAAUUUACAUAUUUGAUAUCUAAUUUGAAAAAAAAAUCCUUAAUUUAACCUAAAAACCUAACUCUAACCCUAAAUCACAAUCAACAACAACCUAAAUUAUUUAUUAUCUUAAAAGAAUAAAAUAAUUAACAACUCAAAUCAAUGUUUUUUUUUUAUCUAAUUAACCUAAUCUAAACUUUUUUUCUCUAAAAAUCUCUAAUUCUAAAUCCUAACAUCUUUAAAAUCAGCAAUUAAUAUAAAUUAUAUCAAAUUAAUAGAGAAAAGGUUGAAUACACCUCUAAUUGUUGAAUGCGGGCGGUGCCGGCUGAAACUUUGAUGAAUGACCCGCAGAUGGAGAGAGAGGGAGAAAUUGAAGUAGUGGUGGAAAGAGAGGGAGUGAUCUUGCGGUGGAUUUGAGUGUGUUUCGUAGUGAGAAGAAAGAAAGAGUUGUUGCAGGCAAAGGGAGUGGAGGAGGGUGUGACUGCAGGGAGAAAAGAAAUAAUGGGAGACCAAAAAACUCUCUGUGGUGCCAUGCUACCUUUAAUUGAAACAACGUCGUUUAGAAUCCCUUUCUUAACCCUUAAAAACUCACACAACACGUCAUCAUUAUUCAUUAAACAGAGUCUGUGCUCUGUUGUGCCACUGCCAACAACCGCUAUUAAGACACACCAUCUCCCACCUUAAAAACUUUAAAAGAAAGAAAAGUAAACGUAUCAUCAGAUCUGCUCUUCCUUUGAAUUAAUCCAGGUAUUGUAUCUCUCUCUUAUAGCAUCUCUUAAUUCGCAUUUUGAUUUUUUACGAAGAUUGAAGAUGGAAAUCUUUGGGUGCCCAUCAUAAUUCCUUAGAACGUUAGCAUCUUCUUCGUUCUUAUUUUGCUAUGUUAGAAAUCAUGUGAUGAUGGGUUGUUAGAAAUGCUAUUUAUAUUGUAAAAUGCAUUGUUGAAGUUUUCUCUGAAAGAAAUUACUUUGGCAGGGACUGUCGUGGGUACAGGGGAUAUUAUAUAGUUUUUUAUUUUAAUUUGGUUUCUGUAUUUUUUUUUUUAAGUUUGCUUCUUUUUUUUUUAAUGAAAAGCAUUUUGUUCUGUACUUUGGUUCAGAGGGGGAUUCUAAGUUUAAUUCCAGUUGUUCUUUUUUUAUGAAUCUGGCUCAAGGGUCAUUGUCAAAGUUGUGCUUGUUUGCUGGUGGAGAUGAAGAUUGUGAGCCUAACUUAUGUUUUUUAAAAGAUUUUUAAUGGAAGAAAAUUUGUGAACUUGUAAAUUAUGAAUUCUGUUUUGAUGGGAGGUAUUUGUGUUUUGUGGGAACUGCAAAAGUAUUAUGAAUGGGGAAACUUUCGUAUGGGAGGGUUUAUGUAUCUUUCAAAUGGAUUUAUUACUUUGUAUAAGUUUAACUUAUUGGAGAAUGUUCUUCUUGGAUGGCUUUUUUGAACAGCUUCAUCAACUUUGAAAUAUUGCAUGUUCAACACUUAGUUUGUUCCAGUAAAAACUUGCCGUCAGGUUAACUUCGUUGUUAUUUUUCUUGUGAAAGAACCCGACGGCAUGUGAUCUAUGUAUCCGGUAACCACUCACUGUUUUUUAUCUGAGCAAUGCAGUGGCGUCUUGGUGGAUAUCAAGAAGCAGCAGCAGCAGCAACAUCUACAUUUGGUAUUAUGGCCUCUGAGAGGGAAGAGUUUAGCCUCUCAGGACCCUUACAUCUAACUGUUGUUGACUGGUAAGCUCUUUGAUGCUCUGGUAUAAUUCUCCUGUUGUAUUUACCAACUCAUGUGCAUAAACAACAUCACAUAAUUUUGGGGCCAGUACAAUUUUGGGAAUGUGAUGCAGCGGCCAUAUUCUACUUGUACUUUGUGAUGGUCUGCUAUUUUGAUUAAUCUUUGCUGAUGAAAUAGCUGUAAUGCUAAGCGACAUAGUGAUUAGGUAAAAUAGCAUAUUUUUAGUACCAAGAUCAUGUGGGAAACAAUGUUAUUUGUGAUCUUGUGCAGGAAAAAUGCACAUCAUCGAAGAUCUGUUGCUGCCAGUUUGGUUCAGGGUGUCCGCAUUCUAGAGCGGGACCGCCAGGUAAAACGUCAAGGUUCCCAAGCUCUUGCUCCUCCAUGGUGGGAAUUUUUUCACUUCCAGUUGAUUCGUCAACUUGUGGAUGAUGUGGAUUCCUCCAUUUUUGGUGCCAUUUAUGAAUUCAAGCCUCCAGAAUCUCAUUAUCACAAUUCAGUAGAUGAAAGCCCUCGUUAUGUAAUUGCCUUCCGUGGCACCAUAACCAAGCCAGGGUCUGUGUCACGGGACCUUGAGUUGGACGUCUGCAUUAUCAGAAACGGACUCCAUGAGACAUCUCGGUUUGAGACUGCUAUCCAGGCAGUCCGAAAUGUGGUUGCUACAGUAGGCAAAUCAAAUGUCUGGUUAGCAGGCCAUUCCCUGGGAGCAGCAAUGGCAUUGCUUGCUGGAAAGACCAUGGCCAAGACAGGCAUCUUUCUUCAAGCAUUUCUCUUUAAUUCACCAUUUAUCUCUGCCCCACUUGAAAGGAUAAAAAAUAAGCGAGUGAAACAUGGACUCCGGAUUGCAAGUAGUGUGAUAACAGCAGGACUUGCUCUUGCUACAAAGAAGAGCUAUCAGAAUAGUCGAUCUGUUGACCCAUUUGCUACUCUUUCUGCUUGGGUCCCUUUUCUAUUUGUCAAUCCAGGUGAUCACUUUUGCUCAGAAUAUAUUGGGUAUUUUGAGCACAGGAAGAAGAUGGAUGAUAUUGGAAUUGGAGCUAUUGAGAGAUUAGCAACCCAGAAUUCACUCGGCGGUCUUCUCAUGAGUGCAACGGGUAGGGAGUCAGAACCACUCCAUCUCAUCCCUUCAGCAAAUGUAAUCGUAAAUUUAACUCCUUGUCAGGAUUUUAGAGAAGCCCAUGGAAUUCACCAGUGGUGGAGACCUGAUUUGCACAUAAAAUCCAAGCUCUACAACUACAAAUAGUUUGGUUGAAUCUGUGUAUGGAUGGUGUCUCUUAUCUUGUAAUUGUUCGUGUUGUUGGAGGAAGGAUUAUUAAAAAUCGGUUCAUCACCUUAACUAUUUCAAGCUGAUUUUUAUUGCUGAAUUAUUUUGUCAAACUGUAUCCCUAGAUCUUGUUUAAUAUUGCAUCUUACUGUAGUGGUAACCACUAACCUGGUCUUAAGGCUUGGGUUUCAGAAACCAGCCGUUUGACAGUCACUUCCUAAUGCUCAACAACUAGGGUUGGAACUUCCAGCAGUCAUGAAUUCGUCUAGAGGUUAGCAAGCAAGGCUGCUUGAAAAUUUAUAGCUGGAAGACCAUUUUAAGCAUGCAUAAUAUCAUGUAAACAUUUCCGGUUUUAAAAACAUAACCCAGCAGAUCUGUUCACAUUUUAGAUCACCACACCGAGUGAUCUUUAGUUCUUCACCAAAUGUUACGAUAAAUGACUUAGAAGUUUUGGUGAUUGUUUGGAAGAAGGUAAUUUUUUUUUUUUAAUAUUUUUUUUUAAUAUUUUUUUAUUUAAAAAUAUAUUAAAAUAAGGUGAUGAUAUAUGGAAUAUGGAGCCUGCUGCCUCCACAACAGUACAAGUCAAAAAAGCAAGGGAUCCAAUCCCAAGAAAGUGGAGCAUGCAUUAUGGACAAGAUCUGCAGUCGCCAACCCCACAAUCCCCUUACUGCACUCACUUUGUUAACUCUAAAUCUUUAGCAAAUAUUACCAUUUACCGCCUCUGCUGCAUGUAAUAACCAGUUCCUGUACUAAGAUUCUUUUAAACCAAAAAUCACAGGCCACCACCAAAUCAGACCCCACCUGGUUAAAUCAGCCCACUCUCCAAGACUCCAACGUGACAAAAUGACAUUGUCAAGUGUCGACCUUUUCAUGUUACUCCUCCAUUCCCAUUUACCGAUUUACGAUUAUUUUUUAUUUAGCACGGUACUUUACAACUUUUGACAGAAUUAUAUCAUUUAAAAAUUUUCUUCAUAAAAUAAUAUAUUUUUAUUUUGUAACUCUUUUAAAAUAUAAUAUUUACUAAAUAUUGUUAUUUCAGAUAUAAUGAGAUAGUUAACACCCUUUAAAAAAACAAUAAUUAAACAUGUGACAUUUUAAAAAUACAAUAACUUAAUAUGUUGUGCUUUAAAAGCACGAUAUGGAAAAUCUAAACCCUUCUCAAAUCAAAAAUCACAAACAAACAUAACUUUCUUUCUCCAAAAACCAACAUUCAUAAUCUUUCUCUCUAAAAAACUCAUCAAUCACUUUUUUUUCUCUUGAAACAUCCAAAAAUUGAACUCUUCUUAAUCUACAAGUAUCAUAGGUCGUUUUUCUCUUCAAAAUCCAUCGUUGUCGCCUCUAUCAUCAUCGCCCUAGCCUUUUUUGUAGUUCUAUAAGUAAGGUGAACAUAUUAUAUUGUUAUGAAUUUGUGCUUGACUUUGUUAAAUUGAAAUCAUUGUUUAGGAUUUAGGUUAAGUUUAGGGUUUGUUGAAUUAAUGAUAAAUUAAUUAUGACUACCAUUAAUUAGGGUUGACUUGAUAUGAUUGAACAUGAAAAUAAAUUAAAUAAAUUAUUUUAAUUAAUUAUAUGUUGCGUCAAAUUUUGCAUAAGUUGUCGAAUUAUAAAUUUUGUGUGGAUUGUUCGAAUCUGCCGAUAAUAUUAUCAACUACGCUUAAUGAUUUUCAUGAAAUAGAGCAUGAAUAUAAUAGAAUUAUGAUGAAUUACACGUUGCAUUGAAUUGUGGAUAAGUUGCCAAAUUUGAUAUUUUCUUUAAAUUGCUUUAAUUUACUAUGAAUUUGGGUUUGAUUUAUUGCAAUUAGCAUGAAAAAUAUCAAUUAGAUUUGAUAUCAUAAAUUGUGUUUAAUUUUUGUCAAUUAUGCUUUUUGCAUUACAUUUUAUGAAUUUAAUUGAAUUUCCUAUAAAUUUUAACAAUCAUGGCUUGGGUAAUGCAAUUCAGUUAAAAUUGCGUCUAAUAAAUAAGAACCCAGUUUGUUUAUUUUUUUUACAAAAUAUCUUAUAAUAUAUUUAUGUUAUGUCAUUAGAUGACACUAUUAUUCCUAGUAUGAACAGUAAUAUAACAUACAUUGACAGAAGUAGUUUGUUGUUUUGAUGAUAAUUUAGGCAUAUCAUAUGUGGAAAUCAAAUAAUCUAUUUGUCAUGGACUUAGGUAAAAUUAUAAUAAUAUUGAUGUUGAAAUAACUUGGAGGUAUCAAAUUGGUAAACAUCAGUAUUAUCUUGUACCGAUUGUAUGUGAUAAUAAUUUUAAGACACUAAUUGAUUUUUUUAUCCAAAGUAGACUGAACAUAAUGAUAUUGUAUAUGAGUAGUCGAUCAAAAUCUUUGUGUAUCACAACUUUUGCUAGUCCUUCAAAGUCAGUUAGCAGAUGAAAAAACAAUUUAGUGUUGGAUGAUUUACUAAUGAGAAUUAAUGAUACUAUGUUUGACAAUUUACUUGUUAAUCAAUAUAGAUUUGACUAUUUUGAGUUUAGUGAUAAUGAAAAUGAUGAAAUAUUAGACCCGAAUGUAACUAGAUAUUGAUGAUGAUAUUGAUUAUAAAAUAAUAAGUUUAUAAAUUUAUAGAUUUACUUUUGUUAUUUCUUAUAAUUAGACAUCUAGUCAUAGAUGUUUGUUAGGAGAUUCGAAUUUGAAGGUUGGACAAAUAUUCAACAAUAAAAAUAAAUUAGUUAAUACAAAUUAAAUAAUAAUGCAUUGCAUAUUCGAUUAUCUACUAAGUCAAACACCCAAACUCGAUAUUUAUUCAAUAUAUAAAUAGUAUUUGCAAGGAAAAUAUCAUAAAAAAUUGUAUUCAUCCAAGAUAACAAAUUUAAAAAAGUUACAGUGCCUCGAUUUUUGCUUAAAAAAACUACUGUCAGCUCAAUGCAACAUUCAAAAACAUGCUUUUUCACUAAAGUUUUUUUAUUUUGUUUUUGUUGCUGCGUUAAUUGUCAUUUUUUAAAAAUUUAUAAGCAAAGUGUCCAAUUUGUCCCGGAUUUACUAACCCAAAUUUUAGAAGGAAAAGAAUUACUUCCUCCUUGUUCUUUGAUAAACAGAAAAUACGGAGCAUUUUGCGGGUCUUUCCAGCUCAUUUCUCACUAACCCACUGACCUUAAACAGUUAAACUUUAGUCCAUGAUUGGACCAAACUCAAGUUUCAUUCUAAGCCUCAACUGCCCCGUGUUCUUACAUUAAUCAUGGUAUCAUCCUUUACCUAGAGCACAAUUAAUCCCUAAAAAAAAAAAGUACAGAGAAAGCAAAGGAAUUUUCUUUUUUUAAAAAAAAACUUCUCUUCUAAGACCAAACUCAUCAUAAUUAACAGCUUUCCUCUUGCUUCAAGAUCUUUUACUAAACUGUAAAUUAAGAAAAGGGAAAGCUCCAAAAGCUCAAAAUUUUCAAAAUGCAGAUCAAAGAGUGAACAGAAAUAAAUCACAGGUGAAAAAAAUCAGAUUUUUACACUUCCCUUCAACAUAUUAGUCCUCAUAAUACAAAUUUAAACACCCAAAAUACUACAAUUAAAAAAAAAAGCUACACUUAAAAAUCUAAAUAUAAAAAUACCAAAAAAGAAUUAUCAUUAAUACUAGCAAUGAAACCCUAAAACAGAUCCAUCACUCACAGCAAUGACAACCCUGCAUCCAACUUUAGUCUCCAAAUGAUGGGUAAAAAAAUGCAAGACGCGAACCCGACCCGCCAUUUGAAUUCUUGACUCUAUCUCCAUCGUAGGUCCGACCCGAUACCCAUUGUUAAAACCGGUUUGUCCACCACCGCCAAACCCACCGUCAUUGAACGCGGGUCCCACAUUGACCGCUGCAUCCGGCGAAGCAGAUAAAGGGAAAGACUCAACAGAAAAGGUAGCGGCCAUGUACUGGGUUCGACCCGCAUCAAUUUUACCAGCAGGUAUGAACAUGAACCCGAUUUGAGAACCCGAGUAAAGAAGCUGAAGGGUACUAUCAAAGUGAGAAAAAACAGCUCUAUUUGGGUUCUUGACGGAGACAUAUUGAGAGAAAGUGAAGUUAACAGUGUUGUUAGAGACAGAAAAUGAUGGAAGUUGAACAGAGUUAACAGAGAUUUUAGGAUCUUUAGGCUUGAAAACAGUGAAGAAGACAAUAAGGAUUAUGAUAACAAGGAAGAUUAAGAAGAUUGUAGCCACUAUGCACGAAGCAAGAUUUGUGCGCCCGGAAGGUGGUCUGUGUGGUUUGCUCAUUUUCUCGACGGAUUUGAUGAGUUAAAAAGAGGGGAUCAGGUGGGUGCAAAGAAGGGAAAGAUGGAAUCUUGGGAGUGGAGUGAGAGAAGAUGGGAAACUUGAGAGGUGUUUGGGAUGGGGUGAUGAUGUAUGUGCUACUGGGAAAGUGAAAGUGACAGGACAAGGACUGGAGUGGAAGUAGCGAAAAAAUAAGUAGUGUGAAAGCAAGACUUUUGGUUUUGGUUUUCUUUAGAUUUUUCACUUGAAGGAGAAGGUUUGAUCGUGGCUAAAGAUUCAAAGAGACGGUAAAGGUAAAUCUUGCCUUGGUUCGGUGGUGGUACCUCUUUUGUCAAAAUAAUAAAAAAAUAAAAUAAAAAUAAAAACACUUGAACUGCCAUACCAAGGUUACUUUCCGCUUUGCAUUUAUCUGGGAAUGCUCUCAAAUACUGGUAGUGGUAGAUGUUAUCUUCUUGUGGCGGGAAAAUCAAGCAGGAACGAAUCAGUCUCCAUCACUGUACAGUGCAGUGAAUAAUUCACAUGUAACUUUCUGGAAUUAAUUGGCAAUUGAUGUUGUUGCUAUCAUAUGCCAUCAUCAUCAUGACGAUGAUAAGUGUUGUUAUUAUAUAUAAAUAAAUAAAUAACUCUACGAGGGAUCAUUGUUUUAAUAUAUACCAUGUAAGGUAUUUCAACACACAAUAUAAUUACUAUUUUAUUAUUUUUUAUAUAUUUUUUUUACUUGCUAGCUAAUUAGAAAGGUAUUUUCUAGGAGAUAUAAAGAUGGUUUGUAAAUUGAUGUAGAAUAAUUUAGUAAUUUAUAUUUUUUUUCAUAAUUGAAUUACAUAAAUAUGACUAGAAAAAAAAAAAGAAUGUUUAAAAAAAUAUUUGUUGCCAACAUGCACCCCCAACUAGAAAGAUCCUAAUGUGCCACUUUUAACACCAUCCUAAAUAAGAUGUUUGACUGUCGAAGGAGUUCGUGGUUUUUAGAUCGUUCGAAAGAGACAAGUUCUUCUCACAUAUUAUAUAUGUUAAAAGAUUGAAUUACUUUCAAGUAUAUUUAAUAAUUAUAAAAAAAUUAUAAUGAAAUGAUGAAAAAACCGUAAAUGCAAGUUUAAGAACAUAAAAUCUUAAGGGCAGUCAAAUAACUAUACCCCGAAGGAAAACGAAAAGUAAAAAAGCAUCUUCUCCAUGGUUAAUUUUCUUUUGAUUUAAGGGUAAAAUAAUAAUUUUAUUGUGAAAAAAAUGAUGAGAUAUAUUAACUCCAUUCAAUUAUUUGGUAAUGACAAUUGAAUAAAGUGACAAAAUAAUUUUCCCGCAUUUCGUUAGCUUUUACCAUGGAGAGAUAAAAUAUAAUUGCACCAAGUGUUGCACCGAGCACCCUUAAUGUGUGUGUGUGUGUGUUUUUAUUAUUAUUUUUUAAUAAUAAGGCCACAUCUGCAAUCAAUCAUAUUUUGGGUUAGCAGAUCCAGCCAGCCCUAUAUAAGAACACAGAAGCUCAAAGAUUAUAAAUUCAAGAGCCCAGUUGAAGUGAGGUUGUUUUUGGACUUUCCAUUGGCUCAAAUCUCCUUCUACUUUCUCUUUACGCGCCAUUGAGCACUCUUUCUUGAUCUCUAUCAAGAAUUGAUAGAAACUUAACAAUGUCGAUCAGCCUUCUUCUGCCUCUCCUCUUACUUCUUUUAUCCACCUUUUUUCCUCGUUCAAGAAAUCUUGCAGUCCCUCAAGAACUCAAGAACUUAUCUCAAAACCUCAUUACCUAUAACACCCCCGCUAUAUCACCUUCUUCUUCUUCUUUAGUUGUUUCCUUUUCAAUCUCUCCAUCUCCAACACCAACAACCUUACCAGUCAAUCCUCCUUUAGUGCCUGCUUUCUUUAUUUUCGGUGACUCUUCUGUUGAUUGUGGCACCAACAAUUAUCUCGGUACUUUUGCUCGUGCUGACCAUAGUCCUUAUGGUAGAGAUUUUGAUACUCAUAAGCCAACUGGAAGGUUCUGUAAUGGAAGAAUCCCUGUUGAUUAUCUUGGUAAACACUUAGUUUUUAACCUUCACAAGAAAAAAAGCGAAAUCUUGGGCCUUGUUUAAUUAUUUUGCUUUGAAUGUCCUUUUUAGUGAAAAGAAGACUCCAAUUCAGAUGUUUGUUUUGCAUUUCUUGAUGGUUUUAACUUUUAAGCGUCUGCUAUCUGGGUUUUUUUUUUUGUGGUGAUUUUGCGUGUAUUGCUCUUCUGUUUGAUAUCCAAGAAAGUGAGGGAAAUUAUCAAGAAAAUGAGGACAUUGGAGUGUCCUUUGUCUUUUUAUUUACUGAUUUUGAAGAGAUGGAGAUAUCAACUGAAUACAGAUUCUGAGAUAUUUGGUCAUUUAUUUGUUUUUCUUUGAUCAAUUACUCUAGGCACUGUUAGUGAACAAGUCAAAAGAGCCUUAACUCCUGAAUUUUCCUAUCAUUUCUUGCCAGCCAAACAGAUUUUUCGCCUUUGUUGCUAAAACUGACUUUUCCAAUAUUGAUUAUGUUUACUUGUAAAGAAAUUCUUUGUCUGGGCCAAUAAUAGAUACUGGGAAUCAGUAGUUUAUGUAUCUUGCUUUAGAUUUCUCUUAGUGAAACAAGGCUGGUUUAGAAUUUUUUUUCCUCAUCAGUUCUUAACUAUUGUCAUUUAUUUGAUCAGCAUUGCGCCUUGGGCUUCCCUUUGUACCAAGUUAUCUUGGGCAGAUGGGAACUGUCGAAGAUAUGAUUAAAGGGGUGAAUUAUGCAUCUGCUGGUGCUGGAGUUAUAUUCUCGAGCGGAUCAGAAUUGGUAAGCUCCUCGGUACUAUGCCGAAAAGAUCACAAAUUCAUUCAGUUACGCUUACACCUAAUCAGCAAUCAUGUGAUUUUGCCGCAGGGUCAGCGAAUCUCCUUCACGCAGCAAAUUCAGCAGUUCUCGGAUACUUUACAGUCAUUUAUUUUGAACAUGGGAGAGGCUGCUGCAAAUGAGCUCAUCUCGAACUCAGUCUUUUAUAUUUCCAUUGGAGUCAAUGAUUACAUACAUUACUAUUUGCGUAACGCAUCCAAUAUACAAAACCUGUACCUACCAUGGAGCUUCAACCAGUUCGUAGCAGCUUCAAUAAGGCAGGAAAUAAAGGUGACCUUUCUAGUUUUUUACUUUUCAUAUUUUGUUGUGUUCAUGCAAGAAAGAUAUCUCUACUCAAUAAAUUGUGGUUUUAUAUAUAUAUAUAUAUAUAUAUAUAUAUAUCAUAUUCUCUUUUAACAAGUCCUUAGAAUUCAAGAUGUUAUUUAUAUCAGAAAUUCCUAAUUCUUGUAUGUUUAUGGAGCAGAACUUGUACAAUAUGAAUGUCAGGAGAGUAAUUCUCAUGGGGCUGCCACCUAUUGGCUGUGCUCCUUACUAUUUGUGGAGGUACAACAGCAAGAAUGGGGAGUGCAUUGAGGAGAUAAAUGACAUCAUUCUAGAGUACAACUUUGUAAUGAGAUAUAUGAUCGAGGAGCUAGGUCUGAAACUUCCCGAUGCCAAAAUCACCUUCUGUGAUAUGUAUGAAGGUUCAAUGGAUAUAAUUAAGAACCACGAACUUUACGGUAAGGCAUGUAACAUUUUCCUCCCUUACGCUGCUGCAAUGUCUAUAGAAUUCACUAGUCUUGUGUGAUGUUUUCACUCAGGUUUUAAUGUCACUACUGACGCUUGCUGUGGGUUAGGAAAGUAUAAGGGUUGGAUCAUGUGCUUGGCAUCGGAAAUUGCUUGCAGCAAUGCAACCAACCAUAUCUGGUGGGACCAAUACCAUCCAACUGAUGCAGUGAAUGCCAUCUUGGCAGACAAUGUAUGGAAUGGUUUGCACACAAAAAUGUGCUACCCCAUGAACUUGGAGGACAUGGUUGCUCCUAGAACCAAAUAAUCAGAGGCAGAAGUUAACAGUUGUUGAAUUUUGUGGUCUACUGAUCGAGCGUUUAGUCCUGGUAUUUUCUGUGAUGCUUAUGCCCUGUGAACCUAUAACUGACAAGAACGUUGUGUAAUAUUCAUGUAGAUGAAGUACAGACUAGAAUAAUGUGUAACAUACAUGUACAUGAGGAGCUGAGAUUGUGGAAUGUAGGUAGUACAGAUGUGAUAUUACUUAGAAACUUUGCCUUUAGAUAGAUAUAGCUAAAUUAUCUUGAGAUGAUCUUUCAGCCAAAAUAAAGAGGAAAUGACGGCCCCGUUUCCUCUUUACGGUGAUAAAACAGUCGCCAACCUAGAGGAAACACAGAUAGGUAAAGUGGUCGGUUACAGCAAAGGAAGUCAGUAUCAAAAUCACACCUACUUUGACUUCAUCAUGUGGACAUAUUACGAAGAUAAGGUUGAAAGAUAGGAAUACAAGGAUUUUUUUUAACGAAACAAAGCUAGAAUAUCAAAAUCCUAAUUCUCAUGUAUGGACUGGUUAAAAACCAUUCUUGAUCUGCAGUGGAUUUUCCAUAUUCUACGUUCUCUUUUAAAAGUACAUCCAAAUUCCACGGAAUCUGAUAGAUAGGAGCAAACUAAGAUUAACAUGGGUGAAAGGGAAUUACUUCAAAUAUGGAAUUGUCAUGUUCUUUAGCAAGGAUGGAUUUCGAGUUGCGAAUUCCUUCCACUCCUCUUGAUCAAUCUUUCCAUCCCCAUUUGAAUCCACGUCCUCAAAUGUCUAGGCAGACUCAAGGAAAAGGUUUCAAUAAUUUUUUGUACUUUACAACAUGAUGAAGAGAUCAAUUUAAUUCUUUAAUAUCAUGCAAACCUUACCUUGUCAAUAAUGGCUUCAACAAUGUCAUCUGAAAGCAUCAAUUCUGAUUCAUCUAAAAAUGCCAAUAUCAGCACCUUGACCUUUCACCAGUUAAAUGUUCCAAAGCAUAUCAAUGUGUAUUUUAGAAAUCCAAAAGGAAGCGCUUCUACUUGAAUUAGCGUGGUUCUAUGCAGAAUGAGAACAUGUAUGAUGCAACUUAUUUUGUUUGAAAACCAUUGCCUGGAUAUGAAGAUCUUCAAGUAAAUAUAUUUUAGCCAAAAGAAGUUCUUCCAGUUAAAGGUAUAUUUAAUCUUAUCAAAUUAAUAUGACGAGCAGCCUGUACUAAUUUACUUCAGUCUUACUAUCAUGUCACUAUUCUGCAAACUCGUUAGGAAAUGAAAAACAAUGAUCUCAGAUUCAGUCUUUAAUGUUUACCUCAUCGCGUUCGAUGAAACCUGUCUCCCAUAUAUCAUAUAGUUUAAAUGCAACUGCCAGACCAGCACAUCAAACUUUUAGCAUAACUUUCAAAUAAGAAUGAUAGCACAUAAUAUGAGAGGGAUUUCAUACAAGCAGCUUUGUCUGAUUGGGGUGCUUCUGGGUGGAAGACACUCAGGGAUCGUACAAACUCCGCGAAUUCUAUGACUCCAUCAUGCUUGGAGUCAAGCAAUUGGAAAAUCUGGAGAAUGUAUAAUUAAUUAAGAUACUGUUAUCCAUUAAAAAAAGAAAUAGGCCAGUAUAGGAAUGAUUGUAAGGAAAUAGCAAGCUUACCCGGUCGGAAAAGAGACUUUGAUUCUUGCUAUUUCUGAAUAACCCCAACUGAAACUCUUCCUAGAUAUUAAUAAGAAGCCAGGUUCAGGGAUUAAAAGAAUAUCAAGUAAGAACCUUUUAGUAUAAGCUUUGAUUGUUUCAUUGAAAUUGAAAUUGAAAUUGAGAAUAAGCCCACCUUUUUUAUGUUAGAUUGUGUUUCCCUCACAGAUUGCAUGCAUUCAGCGUAUGAAAUUGUAUGCAUAUAAAAUUAAGAACUUACUUUGCUAAUAAGCCCAUCAUCUUUUAAAGCACUGCUUAGUUUCCUGAAUAGCUCAUGCAAGGCUUCAAUUUCAGCUUCAUUGACUGCAAGAAUAUGAGCACAGAGGAAACAAAUGACCGAACAAUGCCUAUCACCAAGAAUCUGGCUAGUGGAGCGGAACCCAGAGAAGUAAUUCCAAUCUAAAAACAAGUAUAAACGAAACUUACAGCAAGUCUCUGCUGCAAGAACUGCUGGGUCAUCAUAUUUAAGUUGCUGCUUUGUGCAAAUACAUCCCAUAAAGCUGGACUUUAAUGUUAACAAAUAAACUUCCUUCGACGAGAGAAAGUUAUACGAACACAGCAUCAGGCUUGCAUCUGAUUUCAUGACUCUUUAUUCCUGAUGUUCUUGGUAGACCCUGGAAAAAGGUCGUGAUUAUAAGUGGAAGUUGAUGACACGACUCCCUAACGCUAUUCAUGGCCAGCGUAGGCUGAAUGGACUAGUCAAUGCUGCACACUAUCAAAUGCCAAAAUGCUGGGUUCUGAUGCUAGAUCAUUGAUACAUAGUCUGCUUACUGAGACUUCUUGUCCCGUCAUAUCACCCCAAAUUAUUCAGUAUAGACAGAUCAGAGUGAAACACACCCUUCUGGACUUCAAUUCUCUGGUACAGUACCACCGUCCACCAGUUUGGAAUUUGGAAUUUGGAAUUUGUGCUAAGCAGAUGAAUUUAUAGUAGCUUGCAAAUCCUGGUUGAAAUUGACUAGACUUCCUUCAUAACUGAUCAUAAUUUCUUUCUUCAAUUUGAGUCAAGAAUCUGGUUCCUCUUUCUGUACUUUCAAGAAUGGAAUUGUUCAGUUUACCAGUCCAGCAGAGGAUAGAAGUUGGUUUUUAAUCAAUCCUUUCAACAACUAAAGCUUUUGAGAAUUCUCUCCUUUUCAUUUGAUUUUGGAACCAGUGUACAGGUAAAAAGGCAAAAAACAGUAUAGUUCUAACAGUCUAGAACAAAAAUUUGUUGAAAGAAUGUCUUAGAAAGCUGCAGAAGAUCAAGAGACUUUGCUGAUAAAGAUCUCUGCUUGAAGACCAAGUUUUUAGGAAUAAAAUCUGAUUAUAUUUGAUUUGUUUGUUAUGUAAUUUUAAAAUUUGAUAGUCUUUAUUUUAAACUAAAACUCUAUCUUUAUUCAAGAGUGUUCUGCAAUCAAUAAAAUCAUACUCCUUAUUUUCUUUCGUUUUGCUAUUUUUUUUUCUUCAUGUUCUGCACUUAGUGUAAAACAAUCAACAGAAUUGAUCUCCGGAAAAUUGUCACAAGCCCAUGUUUUAACAUGGCUGUUUUUGGUUACGAACUCACACACGUUCCAUUACCAACCACUGGAACUCGCAGAUUGAAAGCUCAAAAUUUGUUGUUAAAAAUAGCAGAAAAGGUGUCCUUAAAGGAGCGUAGGUUCUUCCAGCAUCUCCAUGCUACUUUAUGCACACAGUUCUAUUCUGUCAGUAUUGUUUUUGGCAUCUGGUGCGAGCAGAAUUUUCAUACUACAUGUACAUCAUGUUAUUUAUAGUCUGGCACUUCAUUUUCGAGCACAAAUUAAGCUGGGAAAUACUAGAGUUAAUUGCCUGAAAAAUGGAAACCAAUCUUCGAAAAGUAAAUAAUGAUGUUAUAUACUUCUAGGCCCCUAUCUGGAAAUAUACAAUUUAAAAGUUAAAACAAAAGGAAUUUAAAAUAUGGAAAUUCUUGCCAUGCAAUAGAUUGUUCCUCCUGAUGUACUCGAUUUUAGGGGCAGGUUUUUAACCCCUAGGAUCGCUAGCUUUCAACUGAUAAUCUCCCAUCCCUCCUCUAACAUGGAAGCUUGCGUAUUUGCGUGGGUUUAGAACAUCAUCAACUUCAAUAAAAAGAAAAACAUGUGUACUUUAACACUGUCAAAAUGAGUAUCCAUGAUACUCAGGUUCAAAAUAGUAUUAUUGGCCUCGAUUUCCUGUCGGACACUGCUGGCUGAGUUGCUAAAAUAGAUGGGGUUAAGAAGUAUGUUUUCUAUGUAAUCUUCAGUUCAUCUUUCUCUACUUGGUAACAUUGCAGACUACAGACUAUAGGGUAUAAAUUUUAUUCGGGAUAUAAAAAUUUAGUUCGUGUGUGUAAACUAGCAUAAAAAACCUUAUAUAUCAAAAAAAAGAAGAAAAAGAAGCAUAUCUUAUAUCAAUGAUGUUGAAAUAAUUUAUAUUGAAGUUAUUUUUAUAACACCAAGAUCAAUAUUUGAAGAGUGUUAUUUUCUCUAAUUACAAAGUAGUGGCUACAAGGUUUUUAGUAAAUAUACUUUCAUGACUAAUAUAUAUAUAUUGUGUGGUAUUUGUGGACUUUGUUUAAUGAUUUUAUUUGAGAUAUAUUAAUUUUUAUGUUUUAAUUUUCAAAGAUUUAAUAUGAUGUGAUUUCAUAAAAAAAAAAAGUAAAAAUAAAAUUGAGUCGGGUUGGAUAUCCACGUGUCUAAUGAUGGAUGUAGGUGUGCAAAUACACUAAAAAAACCAGUCAAACCCGUUGUCUUCCCUACUGGUACGCCGAUUAGCUCAUGCAAGGCGGGCAUCCACAAGAGACUCUCUCUCUCUCUGGGAUAAUUAUCACCCAAAAAAAAACUCAUGAAAUGAUCUUCCAAGUUUGCCCUUGGAAGUGGCCGUUAACAAUUAACAAAAUCUUGGUUAAAGGACAAGUCUGGUAAACAAAAAAGACCCCGAAUUACGCGGCCUUUUAAAUGGCAGCAUAGUGGCAAGUGGUUGGUUCCCGUAAGAUUGAGAGACAUCUUGUAAUAACUCCAAAGAUUCAUUCAUGUGACAGUCUGAAGCAGAGUCGGAAACCACUACCAUCCCCCACCUCGAAGGAGAGGAGACAGAGGACAUCGAAGAGCCAUGAAAAAAACUCGACAAGGGUUCUCAGUCUCAAACGCCACUGUUUGUCAAAACAACAAAAUCAAAAACGGUCAUUCAAGAAGGAGAAGUUUGUAUGAGCUGCGCUUCUCUUUGCUUUUCCUACUUUGUUAUCUUCUCUUCUUGUUCUGUGCUAGACUUAGCAUUGGUCUUGGAAAUCAAGGUGAUAUUUAUUUUCAGGGCUGAUCUUUUUUGUUUUUGGAAGUUUUUCAUGCUCCAUUUUUCUUUCUUUCUUUUUGUUACAACCCAUUAUUUUGUUUUAUAUUUCUAGCAAAUCCAUUUUAUUUGUCUUUUUAUACACAUAUUAAUUGCCUAGAAAAUUGAUGGAAAAGAUGAGGCCUUUGAGUUUCUGCUGUUUAGUUUCUAUGAUAAUGAACCUGCUCAUCACGACUUGCUUAAUUGACCACAUAAUUGUGCAGGAACGUCAACUUAAGUUCUAGCACUUUUAUGUUUAGGGUCUGUUCCUUCGAAGAUUUGUUUUUCUCAAUAGGGGUGCUAAAUUGGCCAUUUAUUUUAUGCAUGAUAUUCAAUUGACAUAUUGAUUAUGCGUUUUCAGGGAAUUUGACUCUUGAUGACAGUAGCAUACCUUGUUCCAGUGAUCUCAAAGAUACUCUUUGCGGUGAUACAUAUUCACGUGAUGCCAAUAGAAGCAAUAAUUGUACAAAUGGAAUUCUGCUAGGGGUCAAUUUAUCUACCAGCAAUAACAAUGCUACAGUUCAUACUGCCUCAAGAAAUCAGAGGUGCCCACUCCCAGAGACAAAUAGAUUUGAAGAAGUAAUUUUGAGUGCUUUAGGGUAUGGUUCUUCAGGGUUAAUAAUGAAGAAUCCAGAAGAAGUGAAGGCAGUUAAACCAAAAGAACUACCUAGUGGGAGACUUCAGCAUUUGACUUAUCUCAACUUUGACGAGUACCGGAACUUAACAAAACAAGAAAAAGGCAAAGUGAUGCCCAAGCAGCUUGCUAACAUCACCCACCGGCUUGAGCCUGAUGGAAAAGAGUACAACUAUGCCUCUGUGACUAAGGGUGCAAAGGUGCUUGUGUACAAUAAGGAGGCUAAAGGAGCAUGUAACAUACUGGGGAAGGAUCAUGAUAAGUACCUGAGAAACCCUUGUCUCACGAGAGAGAAGUUUGUUGUGAUUGAGCUUUCAGAGGAGACACUGGUUGAUGUCGUUAAAAUAGCAAAUUUCGAACACUAUUCCUCCAAUUUCAAGGAUUUUGAACUGUCAGGAAGUUUGACCUAUCCAACUAGAACUUGGACACAAUUGGGAAAUUUUGUGGCUGCAAAUGUGAAGCACAUUCAAGAUUUUAAGCUGCCUGAACCCAAAUGGGUGAGGUAUUUGAAGUUGAAUUUACUAAGUCAUUACGGGUCAGAAUUUUACUGCACGUUGAGUGUUGUUGAGGUAUAUGGAGUAGAUGCAAUUGAGCAGAUGCUUGAAGAUUUCUUUGUUCCAUCCGAAGAACCUCUUCCCAAUGAAUUGCCAGAGCCUAAUUCAACUGCAGCCCCACCUUCAAAGCCAGAAUUAAGUCUGGCUGACAAGGAAGAUAGUGGGAAAGUUCACAACGGGAGUGAUAAUGCUGGUAUGGAGACAGAGAACAUACAUGGUAUUCAACAAUCCAAUCCCAGUGUGAAGAAGAAUCCUGAGAGUAUAAACAUGAUUGCUAAUCCUGUAACUGGAGUUAGACAGCUUUUAAUUAGCAGAAAACCAGGCGACACUGUUCUAAAGAUCUUGAUGCAGAAGGUGAAGUCGCUUGAACUAAGUUUAACCAUGCUCGAGGAGUAUAUCAAAGAAAUGAAUCAGAGAAAAGGAGAUAUUCUGCCAAAGCUUGAUCAAGAGCUAUUCAGGAUUUCAUUGCUUGUGGAGAAGAGCAGAACAGAAAUUAGAGAUCUCAUGGAAUGGAAGGAGAACACGGUACUGCUAAACUUCCAAAAUUUUCAAAGAGAAGAAAUUUCUGCGAUUGCCUAACCCUCGUUUUGUUUCUCAUUUUCAGGAUAAAGUGCUCAUGGAGUUCGAAUCAUGGAAAGCUGGUGUUUCAUCUAGUAUGGAUGCAAUGGUUAGAGAAAAUACAAGGCUAAGGUGGGAAACAUCUAUCUUAUAGUCAAAAUUCAUGAACAUCUUUUCAAAUAUUUUGGUUAUUAUAUCUCCUGAAUGUCUGCUAUCUCUGAUUGAUUCAAGUUGUCUUACCUAAUCCAUUUUCCAAAGGGAAAAAGACAUCAAGCAUUUUCUUUUACAUGCUAUGCUGUUCCCUGUUUAUAUAAUCCUUUGUACUUUGACCAUCUAGAUGAUAAUCUACAAUAGUUUGCCAAUCCUCUACUUUUAGUAUUAUGUCGCUUUUAGCUCAUGUUUUAUAAAUUUUUACCAUUUAUUUACUGUGUGCUGCUUUCGCUUUGCUGGCUGACUAGCUUUCCCAUUUGUUUCACCCCCUCUCUUUCCUUUCACAGAUUGGACGUUGAAAAGGUUGCAAACGAUCAAGCAAAUCUGGAAAGUAAAGAACUCGCAGUGCUAGCCAGGAGUCUUGUUUUUGUGUGCUUUUCAAUUGCCAUGCUGGUUUCUGCAAAAGUUUCAAAAUUCUUAAGAGCAGCAUCAUGUUUGGGGAAGGCAUGCCGGACUAGAAGAGGUUGGAUAAUGAUACUAGUUAGCAGCACUAUGAUAAUAUUCGUUACACUACUCUCCAGCUAGUCCCUUCUUCGUAGCUUGAGAACCGGUAGGUAGAGCUUCGAUUUUUUUUCCUGUAGCAUCAGAGUCCGCUAAUGCAAUGCUUCGGGGUUGUGAUAUCAACGGAACCAUAACAAUAUUCAUUUUCUUGCUGUGCGCGUAGUCUUCACUUUUGUAGCUCUAGAAAAUCAGAUACUUCGUUGAUAUUUGGCUUUUGCCUCUUCGUAACUAUAGCUUUUACAUCAAUGUAAAGCAUGCUGUUAUUAUCUUUUCUUGUUUCUUUAAUCUUGAAUGAAGUUAUGGUAGUGAAUAAUGUGACAUUUUUCUUUGAUUUCUUCAAAAUGUCAUGCGUAAGAACAAGAAUUGAGACAAAGGACGUAGUCUAGAGCCAAAAAAACUCGUAUUUUCCCUUAAAACAGUGAUGGUGGGCUUCACGGUAUUUUUAGCACGAAAAACACGAAUGGACUCGGUCACGGGAGGUGUAGUAACUUCAUGACAUCGUGGUAUAUCUCUCUUUUUAUUAAAUAACGCUAGUUUGAUUCUACGCCCUAUGCUGUGGGAUAUAUAGUAAUGUUCUUUUUUCAAUGCUAGAAAAAAAAAAUGUGGGCAUUAUCUUUAACUAUAAAGUUGAUAUAUAUAUUUAAUAAAAUAAUUUGAUAAUUAUAUAUGUAAAUAAAUUAUAACAAAUAUGUUAGUUUUAAUCAAAGAUUAAGUUGGGAAGCUGAAAUAAAAUGUUAUUUUUUAGGGGGGAAAUAAAAUAUUUGUUUUAAUUUGAAAUUGAAUCUUUAAAAUUUUAUUUUGCUACAAUGAAGAGCCUUGAUCGUCAUGUGUUUGGUAAUGCAAUUUAAAAGAUUAUUUAAAGCUAAUACAAAAAUUAAUUAUUUAAAGGAUUUAAGUUUUUGAAUUUCAAAAAUUAUUUUGUUAAUGUAAAACUUAAGAAUUACAACAUAUUCUUAAAUAAUAUAUGAAAAUAGUUUAAGGAUUGUAAAUGACCUUGUAUUUGCGUUGAAGAUAAGGAUUGUAAGUGACUUUGCUUUUACAUCUAAGAUUAACUUAGGAGGUUUUUGAGAUUACGGUGUAGAGUAAUUUUUAAAAUUAAAAUUGAUUUUUUAUUUAAAAAUAUAUUAAAAUAAAUUUAUUUAUAUAUUUUUUAUUUUUGAUAUUAGUACAUUAAAAUUAUUAAAAUGCACUGAAAAAACUUAAUUUAAUAUUUUUUCAAGCUAAAAAUAGUUUUAAAAAAUAUCUAAAAAUAAAAAUAAAAAUUGUAUUAAACACUCUCUUAGUGUGUUUGUUCUUACUGUUUAUUGUGUGGUUGUAGUUGAAUUGGCAGGAAGAAAAACUUUUGGUAUUUUCUAAUUUUUAGUAAAUUUAUAUUAUUGGUUUAUCAAUAAAAUAAUAAUUAUAAGUUUGAUGAAAAAGCUGUAAUAUUAAUAUUAUAAGAAUUUAUUAUUUGAAAUAUAAUGACAAUCUUGUAUUUGAAAUAUAAUAAUAAUCUUAUAAAUAUUUUGAAUUAUUUUGUUAACUUUAUGUCGAAGAUUGACUUGAUUAGUUUGUUUUUACAUUUUAUUGUGUGGUUGCAGCUGAAUCGAUUUAAUUUUAUUUUUUUUAACUCUUUUCUAAUUUUUUAUAAAGUUAUAAUAUUAAUUUAACAAUAAAGUAGUAAUUAUAAGUUUGAUGAAAACAUUGUAAUAUUAAAAUUGUAGUGGCUAUUUAGUUAUUAUUUUAUAUAAGAAAGGUAAUUUUGUAAGUAUUUUGAACUAUUUUGUUAAAAAAAAGUUUCGUAAUUGUAAUUUUCAAAACUAUAAAGAUAAAAUAAAAUAAUAAUUAAACUAUUAGAAAAUCAGGUAAUUUUUUUUAAUUUAAAACUUAACGCAGACUAAAGACCGAGUUCGCAGGCCACCGAGUUUUUUCCUCAAAAUUCUACAAAAUAGAAAAUAUAUUAGUUAUUUAGCACAAGAAAUCAACUGUAAUAUCAUUUGAAUCUAUUAUUAAUUACCCGUAUACCAUUAGUAACGCACCCACUCCCACGCGAUCGAGUUUCUCCCAGUCAGUUGACUCACACGAGUCGCGACUCACAAGGACCCCCCCCCCCCCCCCCUCCCAUCCCUCCCUCACUCUCUACUCUGCAACAAAAGAGUUCGACGACUCCGUUUCUUCUAGGGUUUCCAUGAAAAACCAAGACGACACCACCCUCUCAAAUAAAACGGCACUGAUUUUUUCAAAAAUACGGUUUCAUGUUCUUCAUUUGUGAAAUCUCACUCGCUUUCAU